UUGGCUAGUUUGAUUAGGGAUUUACUGCAUCCAUGCCGUUGUGCACUUGUAACAUUUCAGCAUCCCAGAAAAUUGUCAUCAAGGAUCAACUGGCUCUGGUUCAGCUUCAUCUGCUAGGGCAGGUUCAGCUUCAUCUGCUAGGGUAGGUUCAACAUCAUCUGCAAGGGCAUAAACCACUGCUGUUCUAGAAGGUGCAUAGAUAAGAAAGGAUCGAGGUCGGUCAUCAUACCAUCCUUCCUGUAAAAUCACCCAAGAGAAUUCAAGAAGUUUGUUUAUUCGAUUGAGAUAGUCAAAAUGAUAAAAUUAGGUCAGCAAGAAUGUAAAAGAACACAAAUAGGAAAAUACAAA
rnacentral:lncRNA from 1 species